UUUUCUGUAGCUCAGUGGUAAAGCGUACGACCGGUGUGUGGAAGGUCAUAGGUUCGACUCCUGCUUGGAGAU